GCGGCGCGGGGGAACGCGCGGCCGCCGGGUCGCGCGAAGGGCCGCUGCGCGGAGCCGGACGUUCGGCGGCGCGCUCUCUCGCCGGCAAGUGAGGAGCCGAAGCGUGUUCGUCGUCGGGCGCUAAGUGCUUGUUGAGAAAGUCACCAGUCACAGGUGUGUACAUGUGACACCGGCACCUUGAAGUCUCUGGAGCCCUGGAAACUCCUGCAGCUCUGUCCACUGAAGAGGCCCAGAAGCAAUGUUAUCCAGAGGUAAUGAACAUACUAGUGCCAAGACCUUGGUUUCAAAGCACUGUUCAUCACUGAAAGGAAGGAAUGUUCCCUGGAAAAAUGGCUGAUUCCAGAUCAGAAACAGAGAAUG